AAGUGUAUGAAAGUCUGCUAGUACAGAAAAGGCGUUAAAUUCUGAGUAAAAAUAGGGAGUUAAAGUAUUUUUAUUUUCUUUUAAGAUUUUACCCCAGUAAAGAAGGGACGAGAUAUGCAAUUUGGUAGUGAAAAAACUCAUUAAGUUUAUUGAACUUAUCAAAGUGUUGGCUUGUAUUUUGCAGGAAUCGUGGAAUAAGGAACUUGAUGAGGGACCAAGCCAGACGUGUGAGAUCAAUGAUCACCAUCAGUAAAGUGUCAUACACAUAGGAAUGGGGUAUCUUUAGAGGCUUCGCCUCGAGGUCAAUUACAUUGUACUUGAAUAGUUCUCUUUAG
rnacentral:lncRNA from 1 species